rnacentral:lncRNA from 1 species
CCAGCACCCAGCUCAGCCCCACUUCUCAGCAGCCCUCUGGAAAACCCAAAGUGUGUGGUGAAAGCCUGCGUAAAUCAGGGAAUCUCCCUGCAUAGCAGGGCCAUCCUUGGAUGUGAAGCUACAGCUGAUCA